CUGGUGAGCAGUUUGGAGCUGUC
rnacentral:siRNA from 1 species